ensembl:piRNA 21ur-2746 ncRNA
UAGUUUCGAGUUUGGUUUUUG